CUUAACACAAGACUUGCACACACAAAGUUCGAUGUGAUACGUAGCAGACAAAGUGGCUUAAACCCGCGUGUUUUGUGUGUGGUACCAGCACGUGUUCUGGUUCUUGCAAAAACGAUUUGAAAUCAUAACUUAUCAAAUGGCGCAUUGCUAAGGCACAGGAAAGGAGAGUACAGAUAGUUCCAGUGUGUAUCACCAGAAGGUGUGUUACUAUGGUCGGAAAAUGGGAGUACUAAACUUUAGGACGAUGAGGUCAUCGAUCGCGCAUAUGAUUCGCGAGUGAUUCACCAGUGAGUGUUGUAGAUCAACGUGUCUCAACAGCACAAAUCUACACAAUGGGGUAUCUGCGCUCUG